rnacentral:rRNA from 1 species
GUGCGCCUACGGGGGGCAGCAGUCGGGAAUAUUGCGCAAUGGAGGAAACUCUGACGCAGUGACGCCGCGUAUAGGAAGAAGGUUUUCGGAUUGUAAACUAUUGUCGUCAGGGAAGAUAAAAGACUGUACCUAAGGAGGAAGCCCCGGCUAACUAUGUGCCAGCAGCCGCGGUAAUACAUAGGGGGCAAGCGUUAUCAGGAAUUAUUCGGUGUAAAGGGUGCGUAGACGGAAGAACAAGU